UACGUAGGUCCCGAGCGUUGUCCGGAUUUAUUGGGCGUAAAGCGAGCGCAGGUGGUUUCUUAAGUCUGAUGUGAAAGCCCACGGCUCAACCGUGGAGGGUCAUUGGAAACUGGGAGACUUGAGUGCAGAAGAGGAUAGUGGAAUUCCAAGUGUAGCGGUGAAAUGCGUAGAUAUCGGGAGGAACACCAGUGGCGAAGGCGGCCUUCUGGCCUUAACCUGACGCUGAGGAGCGAAAGCUAGGGGAGCAAACAGG
rnacentral:rRNA from 1 species